CCUUUGUCAGGGACUAUCGUCUGAUGUAUUGUCCGGACGCCGCCUUCCUUUCUUCAUGCUGGCCCACGUCAGGAAAUAGGGUACAGUAAUUGCAUGGCCCUUUUUGAGUCUGCCGUCUGACCUAUACAUAUGUAAUGGGAAAGGUGUUGGAACAACUAAUUACAUGGAGGUGAUGUGUAAAUUUGGGACUUGAGUUGUCAGCAGUUGGUUGAAAAGAGCAUAGAUGGAAUCACACUCUUUCUCUUAUUCAUCUUUAGAAUCCUGGGUUGGCCACUUUAUGAAACAUUCGCGUCUAUUUAGGCCAAAAGUACGACAAAUCUAUCCACAUCGAACAUGGAGCGGAUUACCGUAUUGUACAUAGAAACGUUUGAAGAUGGUAUGGAAUAGAUGCAUGUUGGAGUAAUGUUCCAGAAAGCAGCAUUCCAGGGGCAAGAAUCCAAGUUGAAAGGCUGAUCAACACUUCAUAUAUUGUUAAACUUGUUUUCUUUGCUCCUUGGUGAAUUAGAAUUAAAUUGGAAAUUGAAAGUUAUUGAACUAAUUUGCCAAUCAGUUAGAUGGAAUUUGUGGAAGUUGCCGAAAUGUCAGGACGGAGUGAUACGCAAAAUUUGGAGUCGAAAAAAGUGUUUGCAUGUGGUGAAUGCUAAGAACGUCUGUUGGCAGUUCCAGAAAUUUUAAGGCUUGGGACACGAUACAGGCUGUAGAUGGUAGAAUUUGCAUUGCAAGUCAAAAUCGUGUGUUGUUGCCUGUCGACUAUUAAGUAACAAGUUGGAGCUAAUGUGUCAUAAAAUGAUUACUUCUUAGAUACUAAAAAUAAAUACACAAAGAUAUAAUUGGAA